GCUCACUUUGGUAGAACAUAUACUAAAAUUGGCAUGAUACAGAGGUUAGCAUGGCCUGUGUGUUAGGAUGACAUGCAAAUUUGUGAAGUCUUCCUUGUUAAA